ACUCUUCAACACACCGGUUCCUAGCUGGACCAGGAGCGUGUUUGGAUUUUGAGUGUUGCUAUUCAGUUAGCUCGUUCGUAAUACAUUAGCAUCUUAAUUUCGUAAUCGGAUUGACUCGGCGUAAUAGACUAUUCGCUGAGGACACCAGACUGUGUUGUUUGGUGGCCGAGACAUGGAAAAAGGGACGCUUCAAACCCUUGCAAGUCAUUCUAAG
rnacentral:misc_RNA from 1 species